rnacentral:rRNA from 1 species
UACGAAGGGGGCUAGCGUUGUUCGGAAUCACUGGGCGUAAAGCGCACGUAGGCGGAUCUUUAAGUCAGGGGUGAAAUCCCGAGGCUCAACCUCGGAACUGCCUUUGAUACUGGGGAUCUCGAGUCCGGGAGAGGUGAGUGGAACUGCGAGUGUAGAGGUGAAAUUCGUAGAUAUUCGCAAGAACACCAGUGGCGAAGGCGGCUCACUGGCCCGGAACUGGACGCUGAGGUGGCGAAAGCGA